rnacentral:tRNA from 1 species
CGGGGCGUAGCGCAGUUGGCUAGCGCGCGUGCUUUGGGAGCACGAGAUCGCAGGUUCGAGUCCUGUCGCCCCGACCA